rnacentral:rRNA from 1 species
UUCCGGUUGAUCCUGCCGGACCUGACUGCUAUCGGAUUGAUACUAAGCCAUGCGAGUCUUUGCAGUAAUGCAAGGCAUACGGCUCAGUAACACGUAGUCAACUUACCCUAUGGACGAGGAUAAUCUCGGGAAACUGAGCAUAAUACUCGAUAGAUCAUAAUGCCUGGAAUGGUUUAUGGUUGAAAUGAUUCGUCGCCAUAGGAUGGGACUGCGGCCUAUCAGCUUGUUGGUGAGGUAAUGGCCCACCAAGGCGAUUACAGGUACGGGCUCUGAGAGGAGAAGCCCGGAGAUGGGUACUGAGACAAGGACCCAGGCCCUAUGGGGCGCAGCAGGCGAGAAAACUUUGCAAUGUGCGAAAGCACGACAAGGUUAAUCCGAGUGAUUUCUGCUAAAGGAAUCUUUUGCAAGUCAUAAAACCACUAGUGAAUAAGGGGUGGGCAAGUUCUGGUGUCAGCCGCCGCGGUAAAACCAGCACCUCAAGUGGUCAGGAGGAUUAUUGGGCCUAAAGCAUCCGUAGCCGGCUCUGUAAGUUUUCGGUUAAAUCCAUGUGCUCAACGCAUGGGCUGCCGAAAAUACUGCAUAGCUAGGGAGUGGGAGAGGUAGACGGUACUCAGUAGGAAGGGGUAAAAUCCUUUGAUCUAUUGAUGACCACCUGUGGCGAAGGCGGUCUACCAGAACACGUUCGACGGUGAGGGAUGAAAGCUGGGGGAGCAAACCGGAUUAGAUACCCGGGUAGUCCCAGCUGUAAACGAUGCAGACUCGAUGAUGCAUUGGCAUAUAGCCAGUGCAGUGUCGCAGGGAAGCCGUUAAGUCUGCCGCCUGGGAAGUACGUACGCAAGUAUGAAACUUAAAGGAAUUGGCGGGGGAGCACCACAAGGGGUGAAGCCUGCGGUUCAAUUGGAUUCAACGCCGG